rnacentral:lncRNA from 1 species
AGAACUAAAGAAAAACUGCUCCUAAAAAGUAAAAUAUUCUAUUUAUACUACAUAGGAAAAACCAAACAAAAAUACCCCUGAGGGUCUGGCGCGGACCGCGCACAAAUGACGCGCGGGCGCGGAGGAUUUUGGGUCUUUAUAUCUUGCUUCUGGCACUGGGGACGCAGACCGCACAAAAGUGACGCGCGGCCGCGUGAACUUCAUCCACGCGGACUGCACUGAUUAGGUGUGCGGCCGCGUGGUCUUUUGCCUUAAAUGAUUGAGUCUCUGACACUCUUAGGCGCGGACCGUAUGAAAAGGGGCCCGGACCACACGGAAAGGGGCGCGGACCGCGUGAAAAGGAGCGCGGACCGUGCAGCUUGACUUAAAAAUGGCAUGGCCUCUGAACUUUCCUGUGCGGCCACGUGGCAAAACAGUGCGGACCGCGCAGGUUGACCUUGAAAAUGCCCAGCCUCUGAACUCUCCUGUGCGGCCGCGUGACAAAACAGUGUAGACCGCACAAGUCAUUUUGUUCCCCCUUUUUGUUGUCUUUUGACACUUGGCAGAUUUCACUCCUUUUUGAGCCGAUCUUUAGUAUUUAUCAUCUUGUCGCUCAAACCUGCAAUCAAGCACAACUUGUAAGCAUUUUGGGACUAAUUUAUGGCAGUUAAUGCACAAAGCUUAGGUAAGAAUGGGUAUAAAACAUGUAGAAAUCAUAGUUAUCAGUAGGCUCGGUAUAUAUAACUGCUCUGCCGUAGUAGGCUCGCUCAUAGGCGCUCGACCAUACUAGGCUCUGUAUCUCGACCAACUGGGCUUGCUCCUAAGUGCUCGACCACAGUAGGCUCGGUAUAUAUAUAACUUACCAUCUGAUCAGAGGUUGCCCAAUAGGGGCCUGCCCAUCGAUUAUAGCUCGAUGGUAAUGAAAAUACUUUUAAUACUAUAUAUAUGUAAACUCUCUACUCUCUUGACUGGGAGAAUGAAAUACUCAAUUGAAUAUAAAGUCCCGAUAAGAAGAAUAUCGUAACAUACAAAAAUAGAAAAAUAUACGCAAUUUGCGAGACUAGCAAAAUAUACGUAAAUUUCGGGAUAUGAAUUUUUAUUUAUGCCUCGUUAUCAAACUUGUGUAAUGAUAGAUCAUGCCAAAAUGAAAGAAGAGCUUAGACUUAGCAUACCUAUUUCUUGAAUUAUUUGAACGAAUCUGCUUCUGCGAAAUAUGAACGAAACUACACUUGGGUUUCCUGAAAUUGAACGAACUUGCUUUCUGCUUCUAAAAUUUGUGAAUUAAGGAAUGGUUUUAAGCUACACUUGUUUCCAACGUUUUUUAAGUUGGUUGAAGCUUCUGUUUCUUUCAGAAUGCAUAUUGAAUUGUAAUCUCUUCAA